GGCGAACGCUGGCGGCGUGCCUAACACAUGCAAGUCGAACGGAACUGUUUUGAAAGAUUUCUUCGGAAUGAAUUUGAUUUAGUUUAGUGGCGGACGGGUGAGUAACGCGUGAGUAACCUGCCUUCAAGAGGGGAAUAACAUUCUGAAAAGAAUGCUAAUACCGCAUGACAUAUCGGAACCACAUGGUUUUGAUAUCAAAGAUUUUAUCGCUUGAAGAUGGACUCGCGUCCGAUUAGUUAGUUGGUGAGGUAACGGCUCACCAAGACCGCGAUCGGUAGCCGGACUGAGAGGUUGAACGGCCACAUUGGGACUGAGACACGGCCCAGACUCCUACGGGAGGCAGCAGUGGGGGAUAUUGCGCAAUGGGGGCAACCCUGACGCAGCAACGCCGCGUGAAGGAUGAAGGUUUUCGGAUUGUAAACUUCUUUUAUUAAGGACGAAAAAUGACGGUACUUAAUGAAUAAGCUCCGGCUAACUACGUG
rnacentral:rRNA from 1 species